rnacentral:rRNA from 1 species
UGGGGAAUAUUGGACAAUGGGCGAAAGCCUGAUCCAGCCAUGCCGCGUGUGUGAAGAAGGUCUUCGGAUUGUAAAGCACUUUAAGGUGGGAGGAAGGGCAGUAAGCGAAUACCUUGCUGUUUUGACGUUACCGACAGAAUAAGCACCGGCUAACUCUGUGCCAGCAGCCGCGGUAAUACAGAGGGUGCAAGCGUUAAUCGGAAUUACUGGGCGUAAAGCGCGCGUAGGUGGUUCGUUAAGUUGAAUGUGAAAGCCCCGGGCUCAACCCGGGAACUGCAUCCAAAACUGGCGAGCUAGAGUAGGGGAGAGGGUGGUGGAAUUUCCUGUGUAGCGGUGAAAUGCGUAGAUAUAGGAAGGAACACCAGUGGCGAAGGCGACCACCUGGGCUCAGACUGACACUGAGGUGCGAAAGCGUGGGGAGCAAACAGG